AUUUGACAUUCCUUGGGAGUAAAGUCAGCAAAUGAGAGACAGCCCAAGAACAGUCCCAGUGGAACAUGGGAUUGUGAUUAUGUCACCACUUACUGAAAUAACUGACACUGAUGGGUUUGAAAUGAAUCCCUAUCCCACCAGAUUGAACUUUCAGCCUCUUCUAUAUCAACCAUCUUUCUCUGGGUGUAAAGUUUCAAUAAAGUGAGGGCAAGGCCAAGUUCAUUCAGGGACCCUGAAAAAAUCCCAUGGCUGCUGUUUAAAGGAUGCAUAGCCCUAGCAAGAACGAGGCAGAAGACAUCAAUGCUCAGUUCUUCUGUAGUGGCAAUAUGCGCCACCACCGCCUAAUGAAAGCACCAUGAAGCCCCUUGAGAUGAUGGAAUGAAGAUGGGUGUCUCAUCUGUCCAUGAAACCAACAGCAUCAAAUGUGAAGCAUGAAAAUAAAAAGAUUUAAGACAGAUUUAGGCACAUCUGUAUUAGGUAAAAUGCUGGCUGGGUGGUCUUUUUGCCUUUGAACCCAUGCAGAUUUUUUUUUUUUUGCUUUUUCUGUCAUCCCA